rnacentral:lncRNA from 1 species
UAAUUAGCUGGAUUGUUAGCCUUGUGCACAACGCACACUAGGGAUGUCAACGGGUCGAGUUUGGAUCGAGUUUUAAAAAUUCUAACUCGAAUCCGAACCCGAACCCGAAAACCAAAUUAAAAUCCGUACUUGGAUCCAAACACGAUGGGUUUUAAAAAUCCAUACCUAUAUUCGUACCUGACCAAAAACCCGAAAUCCGAACCCGGACCCGGAUCCGGAUCCGGAUUCGGACCCGACGGGUUUUAAAAAUCCAUACUGUUGAAUGAAAAUAUAAGAAAUAAAAAUUAUUAAAUAUUUUAUAUAUUAUAUAAAUAAAUAAUAAUAAAGUAUGUAUAUAUAUAUAAUUUAUUCAGGUUUGGAUUUGGAUCGUAUAAAUACAAAAUCCACACCCGUAUUCGUAUCCGUCGAGUUUUUAUUUUAGAUACCUAUAAUUAAAUCCAUACCCGUUUAGCUUGGAUAAAUCCACACUAUUUGGAUUCGAGUUCGGAUAAUAUUUUGGAUAUUCAUAUCCAUUGACAUCUUUAGCUAGGGCUGGCAAAUGAGCGAGCCGGCUCGUGUUCGACUCGCGUUCGACUCGAUAUUUGGCUCGCUCGAGCUCGACUCGAAAUUAAAUGAGCUGAGCUUGAACAAAAAAAAAGCUCGAAAUUCAUUUCAAGCCGAGCUUGAGUAUUACUCGGCUCGUUCGAAUUAGGCUCGAAAAGCUCGAAUAUAUAUGCAUAUAUAUAUAUAUACUAUGUUAUCGAAAGUAUAGAGGAUCUGGUGUUUUCGAUUUUUUGAUUCUUAGAUCAACUCCUUUAAUGAUUUCUUAUUUUUAGAUUAAUACUAUUAUUACCUUGUAAGAACCACUCAAUCCUAGGGGUAUUAUUUAAUCCUAGGGAGGAUCGCAAUCAUCCCAACCAUACAAUUCUUAAUCAAAGGGCCAAAAAUUCGAAAUAUCAAAUCCUUUAUAUUUUCAAUAGCAUAGUAGUUCUACAGUGUGUGUAUAUAUAUAUAUAUAUAUAUAUUAAAAAAUAUAUAAAUAUAAUAUAUUUUAAUUAUAUAUAGGCUGAGUAAAUAAUCUGAGUUUAGUUAAAAUUAGACUAAUGUUGUUAGCCUAUAAAAACAAACCUAAUAGAUAAAUAAAAGAGCGAAAUUUCACUUAAUUUAUACAUUUUUUUUUCUUUUUUUCUUUUACAGAGCUUAAAUUUUCAAUAUGUUUAUCUCUUUCUCUUUUUCUAUCUCUCAUCCUAAGUGGCCAAGCCGGAAGCCCUUCAAGUUACUAAGUAACAGUAUAUGCUUGCCGUUGCCUACCUUGUUAUUAAUUGUAUACUUGAGAAAAUAUACAGAAUAUUUUUAAAGUAAAAAAUUAUUAUUCAUAUAAAAUUUAAUUUUUGUUAUAUAUGAUUGGAUAGUUUAAUCCAAUAUUCAUCUAUAUAAUUUAUUUAUUUUUGACUGUAUAAAUGAAAAUGAAUAAUAUGGAGAUUGAAGGCGGAAGAAAAGACAUANAAUGAAAAUGAAUAAUAGGGAGAUUACAGACGGAAGAAAAGACAUGUGAGGCUGAAAAGAUUAAAUAUUCAACUCAUAAAUUAUUUUUUUUUCAUAUUAUAAUACUAUAUUUUAUAUAAUUAUUUUGUACUUUGAAUUAUUAGACAUGUUUUUUGUAUCAAAUUAUAGAUAAUGUUCUAUACAAAUUAAACUAUUAUCGUAUGAUGUUGAGAAUUUCAAACGGCUCGUUUAGGGCUCGAGCUCGCUCGACUCGAAAUUAGGCUCGCUCGAGUUCGGCUCAAAUUAAUUUCAAUCAAAGCUUGAGUUUAAAUUUAGACUCAA